GACGAGAACGUGUCCGCGCCUUGGCCUCUCUCAGUUGCAUGUAUUGGGUUCGUGGAGCAGGGGAGAGAAAAACAUGGCCAUGGCAUUGAGGCCUUGAAGCGACAGGGGCUUUGUGAAGGACAACAUGGCGAUGGGGGGCGGUGCCGACGGGCCUCUCUGUGAUGAGAGUCUUUUCACAGACCUGUACUGAGCUCCGUGAGGAUAAGAAACUCUGAGGAGACAGGCCUUGCACGGCCGACGCAGUCUUAGCUCCGGAAAACAAAGCGUUUACGAGAUAGCCUAGUGCUGACCUGAUGUUCUCUUGUCUUCAGGGUUCGGGCGCGCGUCGAGCACUAAAGGAUAGCAAAGAGUUCUCGUUACAAUGUGGUUUAAAUCAAAAGACCUUAUGGGUUGGAGGAUGGGACAAGACCUGUCCCUGUGUGGAUCAAGCAUUAUGGCGAUGCUCCAGCAUCUCAUCGCCAAUCCUAAGGAAUUCAGCUGCCUCCCAGGAUGAAUGCAGUGUUGCCUUUUUGCUCCUUUCAGCUUGUUCCUCUUGGAAUGAUUUUCCUGGGGAGGGAGAUGGCAGCCCAGCAAGCGGCACAGUUGGUUCUUGUGAUGGUGUGCUCUUCCCUCACCCACAUGUCACUGUCAGAUGAUUUGAGUGGUAAUGCUGAUUCUCCGUGAGGUUGUCCUCAUGGUGAUGUAUACAUCUGUCUUACAAUGCCUCUUGAUCUGCUCAGGGUCAAACUCCUGGAAAGAGUUGAGAAUCGAGCAGCUUGUUCCUUGUUCCUGUAUUACUCCUGGAAAGCCUCCCGCGUUGAAAGGUACCAUUGCCGGUUACCUGCUUGUUUGCUCAAAGGUCCAACUCCUUGUCUGGAGCCUGAGAAUUAAUUGAGGUAAAUCUGUCAUCUGUGGCUACUAUAUAGAAUUUGCCAGGGUUUUUUGUGGCACUUUGGAUAGCUGUGCAGACAUUACUUGUUUAAUCCAAAGUUUGUCUUUGGCCAUUUGUGAACCACCUGUGACAGAUUUCCACUCACCAGUGAUGAGUUCAGUACCGCCCCAGUCUGAUCACUAUGACUGAAAGGUAUUUUCUGAGCUGUGAGUUUGCCUUGGAGUGAAAGGUGACAAUAGUGGGAGGUUGGGUGGGCUUUAUAGCCAAUAGGAAGCUUUGUGGACUAGGUGGUGGUUUCUAUCAAAAUGUCUGUUGAGACCUACAUAGAUGUGCCUUUUGUCUCGGGGUGGUUUAGAGACUUAGUUCCCAAUCGUUCUUUCGCAGGGGAAAGGAGUAAGCCAUAUUUCUGUUCAACUCCAGUCUGAAGUUAAGAGGUGAGUAAAUGUAAACACAAGGUGGGUCAAGUUAAAAUUUCCCAGUGAAGAAAUAUUCACAUGUCUUACUUCCUGUCCUAGUCCCAGAGCCUGUAAAGGUGAACCCACUGGGGCUGGCUGGGGGAGAAGAGGAAAGCUUGUUCCAGAAGGAACUGUCUGAGGGAUCAUAAGAAUUUCUAAACAAGGCAAAGGAGGGAAUAAAUUACUGGUUGAAAAUCGGUUGUGUUUUUUUUUUCCUUCAGGUCUGAAGAAAGAACAAAGCACACAUAAUGGAGUCCCAACUCUCUAAGGAUAUCAAAAAUGGAAUUUUCUUAUACAACCUACCUGUUCAAAUUAGCACACAAUCAUUUUAGCCUUUCUAAAUAAAACUUUGUUUUUUUAAACCUUCA